rnacentral:rRNA from 1 species
UACGAAGGGGGCUAGCGUUGCUCGGAAUUACUGGGCGUAAAGCGCACGUAGGCGGCUUUCUAAGUCGGGGGUGAAAUCCUGGAGCUCAACUCCAGAACUGCCUUCGAUACUGGAGAGCUCGAGUCCGGGAGAGGUGAGUGGAACUGCGAGUGUAGAGGUGAAAUUCGUAGAUAUUCGCAAGAACACCAGUGGCGAAGGCGGCUCACUGGCCCGGUACUGACGCUGAGGUGCGAAAGCGUGGUGAGCAAACAGG